rnacentral:rRNA from 1 species
UACGGAGGGUGCAAGCGUUAUCCGGAUUCACUGGGGUUAAAGGGUGCGUAGGAGGACUGGUAAGUCAGUGGUGAAAUCCCCGAGCUUAACUUGGGAACUGCCGUUGAUACUAUCAGUCUUGAAUACCGUGGAGGUGAGCGGAAUAUGUCAUGUAGCGGUGAAAUGCUUGGAUAUGACAUAGAACACCAAUUGCGAAGGCAGCUCGCUACACGAAUAUUGACUCUGAGGCACGAAAGCGUGGGGAUCAAACAGG